AAAUAUGGAUUAGUAAUAUACUGAUAUAAUGAAUUAAAGGAAUACACAUUGUGGUUAUCAAGGAUAAAAUAGCUGAAGAAACUAUCUUCUAUAUUCAAUACAUAUACUGGAAUAAUCAUUGUUCACGUACACCCUCAUCCAGAAUAGAUAUCAUGAACACAAUAUAAAUUAUUAAAUGUAAUAAUUUAAAAAAACGGAACACUAGGAACACCUAUGGGGAUAAGCAGUGAUUACAAUUAAAGGGGUUGCAACCCUUUUAACCAGCUGCAUUAGUCCAUUCUAGGUACUAAAAAGGGUGCAAAAAAUCAAAAUGGCUCCUAUACAGUAAAAAAAGGUGUUGGUAUAUCUGCCGGCAGGGCAUAUGUUAGCGAGUGCGCACCAUCAGACUGAAUCGCAUAUCAUUGGGGAGCAGAGACUUACAGUGUGCUGUAAAGAAAAAAAAGGGUAAAUAGCCUUUUAUUUUUUAGCCAACCACAGUGCUUCAUGCAAAAGAGUCCAAAGGGUUCCUGCCAUCCGCUGUAGUCGUACAAUACCGAUAGUAACGCUACAGUUGUGUUCGUGUGUUCGACAAAUGCAGUUGUAUUGAUUUUAGUUUAUUUUUUAUUUAUUUUAAAAAAACGUGUGGUUUUUAAUUCAUAAAAAUUUCACUCUAGAGUUUGUUACAAGUGCAUACAAUUGUUUUUCUAAAAUAGCCAGCAAAAAGGAUUAACUAUUAAGAAUCUGUAUAAAAGAACUUGAACUGUAAUGGUCUCAACUACAAAUGUUUUUUCGUAAUAAGUACGAGUACUACAUUGCAGUGGAUGGAUAUUUUCAUGAAAUGUAUUGGGCAUCAAUGUAUACAGAAUAUAGCCGCCCAAUACACUUAUGAACGAGAUAAGGAGAAAACGGUCUCCCACCCAGAAUCAUUUCGAGAAUAACAAUGAAGACGGUUUUAAUUCCAGCAUUGUACAGCGAGCCGAAGCUUUUAUUAACGUCCAAAGCUCUACGGGCUUUUAAUAUAUAUAUAUAUAAAAACUAUAUGUACGAGUAUAUGUAUGGGAUGGAUGAAAAGCCGAGGCAGCGGUGCCGGAAACAGAGAUGGAAAGAUUUUUCUGCAGCCUGAAAGUUUAAAAGCCUACUUUGAGCUUUGGACGUACAAAAAAAAUGAAUACCAACAGAUUUAAAUGCAAUGUACCUAAUGUAUAACUAAUGUUUGUCGGAAACGUAAUGCAAUAGAAAUCACAUUGAGCUCUUUUGGAUAUUCAAUUCRUUAUACGAUGGUGACAUGUUGAACUGACUUUAGAGUCAUUUGUACAACGAUCGAUUUGUUUGAUUGAUUGUUAACACUUUUAAUAAUUUAAAUUAAUUUUUUCAGCACUUUCGAACAUUGUUCAGAACAGUUUGUUUUCUAUAUUAUAUUACAUACUGUGAUUUGGAGUUCAUCUAUGAGGAUACCCUAGUUUUCGCCACGAAAGUACUUCGUCUUAAACCAUAAGUUAAGUCAUGUGUACAGUACUAGUUUUAUAAUACCUACUGUUGUUAUCGUUAUUUUAAAAUAUAUUUCUGAUUAGUUUUUUUUAGGUAUAAAACAGCAGCUACACCUGCAGCCAUGAACGAAUGAAAACGAUGCCGUCAUCUCUGUAUAAGUUUAAAAUUUAGAAUAUUUGUAGGUAUUGUAAACAGUUAUAACGAGCACCUAUAAUAAUAUCGGAGUAAAAUUAUAUUGUAUAACAGUGGAUAAAUGGAUCUGUGAUUAAGUCAUUUUAUUGUACUCGAUAAAAAAAUAAUCCGACCAAAUUAACAUAACAUGUUAAUGUUAUAUGACAUUGUGUUGAUAGGUAAAACAAAAAGCGACAGUAAACAGAACCAACGUUUUUCGGCACACGUUUGCAACCGUUUUAGGUAUAACGUACAGCAAUUCGGGCCGUAUAAUAAUAAUAAUAAUAAUAUUCACACAAAUGCCACGAAAGUCGUGUACGAAUGGAAGGGAAUCGAGUGUAUAAUAAUAAUAAUAUACGAUGGUAUAUAAUAUUAUGCGGUGAUGGGGUUAGUCAGUUAGGUGUCGUGUGGGAGGAGAGCCACGUUGCGAAAACUUAAAAAUAAAAAAAGUCGGUUAUGGUGGGCCAAUCGAAAAGCAAUCCCGUCUUCGGCGGCAAAAGAAAACGUGUAUAUAUAUUAUUGGCUGUAGGGUGCUGAGGAAGUGGGUAGCGGAGUUUAUAUUGCCGUCCGAUAAAAAGGAAACUCCUCUUUAUUUCCGGAGGUGGGAAAGGGGCAGGGGAGGGAAAAAAACUAAAAACGAAAAAAGGAGAAAGAARGCAGGGGCCGGCGGGGAGAAAAUAGAAAGAAUAUAAGGAAAGGAUAAAGGACCGUUUUCCAUCCCGAGAU